rnacentral:tRNA from 1 species
GAGGAUAUAGCUCAAGCGGCAGAGUGCAUGAUUAGCAGGCACGAGGUCUUGGGUUCAAUCCCCAGUAUCUCCA